UGGGGAAUAUUGGGCAAUGGGCGCAAGCCUGACCCAGCCAUGCCGCGUGAGUGACGAAGGCCUUAGGGUUGUAAAGCUCUUUUGGCGGGGACGAUAAUGACGGUACCCGCAGAAUAAGCCCCGGCUAACUUCGUGCCAGCAGCCGCGGUAAUACGAAGGGGGCUAGCGUUGUUCGGAAUUACUGGGCGUAAAGCGUACGUAGGCGGAUGCGCAAGUUGGGGGUGAAAUCCCGGGGCUUAACCUCGGAAUUGCCCUCAAAACUGCACGUCUUGAGACCGAGAGAGGUAAGGGGAAUUCCUAGUGUAGAGGUGAAAUUCGUAGAUAUUAGGAAGAACACCAGUGGCGAAGGCGCCUUACUGGCUCGGUACUGACGCUGAGGUACGAAAGCGUGGGGAGCAAACA
rnacentral:rRNA from 1 species